rnacentral:misc_RNA from 1 species
UUAUAUUUAGAAGUUUUAGGAGGAUAUUUAUUUGGUAGAGGGGAGUGUUAUUUAAUAUGGUAUAGAGAGUAAGUAUUUUUGAGAUUGUGUUUUGAGUAGUUUUGUUUUAUAUGAUUUUUUUUUUUUGUUUUUAGGGUGUAGGUGUGGAGGAAGUGAGGAGGGUUUUUUUGGAAGGUGAGUGGUGUUGAUAUUUGGGGAGUUAUUAUAUUUUUAGUUUAAAUAGAA